AACCGUAACCCUCUCCCUCCCUCAGAUCUCAAUCCACCGCCGCCCCUAUCCCUACCCCCACCACCUCCUACUCUCCCCAACCCAAUCCACCGCCGUCCUCUGCUCCAGUCGCACCGGCGACCUCCUACUCUACCCCAAUCUCAUCGCCAGCAGCCCCUCCCCUCUCCUCCUAGAUUGACUCGAGCUGCUCAUGUUGUGGCCAGAUCCGGCAGGAACUCCCUCCCUCCCACCUCACUCUCCAUUUGGAAGGACAAGGCCUACGCCCGCCGCCGGGCCGUGCAGCACGAUGGCGCCGUCGAUGUGAUGGUGUGUGGCAGCGGCUCCGACUUCGGGUUUCUGGUAGUGGCCUCAACCUUUCCUGGCACAAAAAUCCCCAUCCACAUCCUCUCCUCGACUCCCUCAGGCCUCACCACACCUCGCCGCCCCACCCACACCGACGGCGCUCCCUCCCAGAUCCGCUAGCGCCGUCGUCGAGGUCAAGGGCUUAUUUGACCCGGUCGUUGACGGAGGGCAGGCUCGAGCGUCGGGAGAUGACCUACGCGUGCUUCUACGCGGCCCAGAUCGAGCAAGGCAGGGUAGGGCAGUGAUACCCAAUCUCGUUUUGUGAAGGAAGGGGCCGGCCAUGGAGAAGAUCCCGCGGGCAUCAGAUCAUCCAUGGCGGCCUAGGAGGAGCACCACCGGGUCAGUUUCGUCACUUGCUCCACCGGUUCAGAUCCGUCGUCACUCGAGCACCGGGAUGUCGGGUUGACUACUAUCGACGCCAACGGUCGCUGCCUGCCUCGUCAUCGACGACCACACCAACUGGCGUUGCCUCUCCCAUUCCAUGCCUGUUUAGUAGCUCUGUGUGGUCAUGUUUAUAGUUGCAUGCAUAUGUUAACUGGUAUUAGAUAAAUGUUAAGAGACAAUGUCAUUUGGUACUCAAGGUUGCCUAAAAUUACCCUGCCAUUGUGAACUAAAUGAACAGAAACAAUACUACAUGAGUUCCACUGGUUAGCUAGCUGUUACACAACUCUGCUCUAUGUCAUGAAUUUGGAUGAAGAAAAUUUGGUUGCUGGCCUAAAAAUUAACUGGUCUGAAAUUUGGUUGCUGCCUAAAGAUGUCAAGACUGCUGUGUGGUGGGGGGUUUCGUGUGCUUUUUCUGUUUUGAGGCCAAUGGUGGUGUAGUUAAAAUGUUGGGAUUCUUAAGGCAGGCCUCCAGUUCUGCGUACAUUUGUGCUUGAGUUGGAACCAACGCUUGCUCAUAAUAUAAACACAACUGUGUGCACAAUUUAGCUAAUUAUACUAGGGGUGAUUAAGAGUGCACUUCACUGGAAUGGAUUAUUGGCUGUGAUACUUUUUUUAUUAAUCUGCAAACACGUGUACAGUGCAUUGUUGCUAGUUUGCUUAGAUAUGUUCUGUUCCCAUCUUGGAUGAGCAGUGUUUUCUGGGCCAAUAUAUGUACCAGUUUAUGUCAAAUUGCAGACAAGUCCACCCUGGAUCUGCAUCUGCAAGGUUAUUAAUAACAUAACUUGAUGGAAUUUUACUCUUUUAAUCACAAUAACAUAGCAGUAACAUGUUAUCACUUUGGAUGAAGAAAAUCAUUUGUAAUAAGUUCUUCCAUGUUUAAUUGCAUCCAUUGUGAAGCAGUGUUUGGUGUCGUAUCAUUUCCUGCUACAUAGUUCAAUCGACUACAGUAGUCAUUUGAUGCCUGGGACUUGCAUAUGUUCUUCUGCACUUGAAACAUCAACAUGUAUUUUUCCUUGUUUUCUGGAAUAAUUGGUAAACUUCAUAUUUUGCAAACCUGUUGCAUUUCGCACAUUCAAAGCUUGUUACUACAUCGGUUGCUUUCUCCAAGUGUCUUCGUCUUGGAUUUUAUCUCGAUAUGCAUAACACUCCUAUAUUUCUAGAUAAUAUUCUGGAUAAUGAAGUCAGUUACCCUCCAAUUUGGACGACCCAUUUAGUUGAAACUAGUUUCUACACCAUAUGCUAUCUAGCUCUUGGGUGCUAAUUCUAGUUACUUUAUAUGAAGCAACAGUUAUCUUGCAGCCAUCUAAUAUGCAAUUCUAAUAAUAUUUCAUAUCCUGAUUUUUAAGUUGUAUAUGUCCUUCACGCAUGAAUUGCUUUCUUAUGUACCAGCUCCCUAAUCAUGUUUUUUGUUUUUUGGGUUGCUAUCUUAGGAUAGAAUCCCUUCUCCUCUCUUGUUGUGAUUCCUGCCUUUGGUUUGAUUUGUUUUGUUUUUUGUGCAGGUUGCUCAGAUCUGAUCUAGACGAGUUGUUGCUGCUCUCGCAGGUGGAUGACGAGGCCUCAUGGCUGCUCCCUACUCCUCCAACCACAUGACUUGGUGUGGUGAGAUCAUCUAUUUUUAUGGUUUGGAUGUAUAUACAUGAUGGUGGGCUGUUGGAUGUGGAUUGUGAGUCCACGGCAAGACCAACCUCGAAACAUCAAGGUAAUCCAUUUCCCUGGCACGUUCAGCUGCAUCACUCUGAUGCCCAUGAACGGUGAUAGGAAGCAUCUUCCUGCCGCCAUGAAGGGCCACUUGAAGCUGUCAAAAGGCACUUGUAGAGCUUGUGGAUGUGAUUAUACUUGUAGACACUUGUAGAGCUUGUGGCUGUGAUUACAUUUGUAGAGCUUGUGGCCGUGAUUAGCAAUGUAUCUAAGUUAUAUGAUGUAAUAUAAUUAUUUUGGCUGUUAUUUUAAGUAUUAUGUGUGCUUUC